GUGAGGAAUUUUGCGCAAUGGGAGCAAUCCUGACGCAGCAACGCCGCGUGGGUGAUGAAGGCCUUCGGGUCGUAAAGCCCUGUCAGGUGGGAAGAACGUCUUGGGGAUGAAUAAGCUCUGAGAGUGACGGUACCACCAGAGGAAGCACCGGCUAACUCCGUGCCAGCAGCCGCGGUAAUACGGAGGGUGCGAGCGUUAUUCGGAAUUACUGGGCGUAAAGCGCGUGUAGGCGGGGAGGCAAGUCUGAUGUGAAAGCCCCGGGCUUAACCUGGGAAGUGCAUUGGAAACUGCUUUUCUUGAGUGCUGGAGAGGAAGGGGGAAUUCCCGGUGUAGAGGUGAAAUUCGUAGAGAUCGGGAGGAAUACCAGUGGCGAAGGCGCCCUUCUGGACGGCAACUGACGCUGAGACGCGAAAGCGUGGGGAGCAAACAGGAUUAGAAACCCGAGUAGUCC
rnacentral:rRNA from 1 species